UACAACCUAGUACUCUAAGCAUUGAAAAAAUUAUUAGUAAAGCUAAAAUACGUUCAAGUGAAACACAUAUAUAUGAGAGGAAGUGAGAGUUCACCAGGUAAACAUAUUUCUCGUGACCUCAUUAUUCUCAUCGUUAUGUUCAUUUGCUUUGUUUAAGUUAUAGGUUGAGAAAAAUGAAAAGAGAAAAACAAAGAUGGUUUAUUGAGAGACUAGGUAUGUUUUAAGGGUUGUGCUAAGCAGGGCCUAAGAAGGGUAAAUUGGAUAUUUUAAAAGAUAAAGGUAGAAUGUUAUAAUGGAUAGACAAUAUCAUAAUAAGUAAAAAUGAAAAUACAAUAUUAUACUAAGAGAAAUAAUAAAACUAUGAUGCUAUAAUUGGAUGAAUCUAUCAAAGUUCAAUCGUCCUAAAGGAAAAAAAUGAAAAUACUAACUAUAUAAUAGGUAAAGAAAAGUUGUUUUGCUUCAUUGGGUUCCUAAGAGCUUUGAUUUAGCACCUCCAUGUAACCAAUUCACAUUUGAUAAGGAAGUCCGUAGUGCAUCUUAUUUGUUUAAAAAGACUUGUAACCAUCAAAAAUAUAUAUUUAGUAAUUCGAAAAGAGUUAAUAAAGACUAAUGACAUUAAGAUGUAAAAGAGGAAAUUACCAUGAAUUCCUACUGGUACCGGAUACCAAGAAUAGAGACAAAAAAAAAAAAAAAAAUAAAAUAAAAUAAAACUUAGUGAGAUCCAUGGAAAUUGAUUUAACAGCAUAUAAGCAUCUUAAAUGAGAAUAUAGAAAUAUGAUUUGAACAACAGCACAAGCAAGUUAUACUUCAAUAAAAUCAUGCCAAACUUAAUGAAAACAACUAAUUGUGAGUAUAAUAAACAACUUUUUGGUUAUGUACUAUCGUUCUUGCUAAAUUGUAAAACAUGUUGUAGCUUCCAAAAAAUAGACAUAAAAUCGCUUGGAAAAGCAAAUGCUGAAGAACACAAGGUUAGACCAAUUCACUUGGUAAUAUUAACAAACUUGACAAGAAAGAAAAUCCACAAAUUUGCUAACGUGUACCGGCACUAUCAAAAUAAGAACAUUGGACAAAAGGAAGAAGUUAUACCAGUUGCAUUAAAAAACGUAAAUGAUAAGUAGAAACCAAAAAGGGCAUGCUUCAGAAUUUCUAGAGCCACUAUAAAAAACAAUAAUUGUUUUACCUUUUAUAAAUUGUAGGGAACACAACCUUUGAGCAAAGAUCGAGCUCAAAUUUUCGCAAAGAGAGUGAACAGUAAUUUGUUGAAUCCGUGUGAUCACAAAUCACCAAAAGCAACCUGCAAUAACAAAAAAAUCCAACAUUAAAUUACAUGGAAAUGCAAAGUUUCUAUAAAGAUAAACCGGAUCAUCACACUUAUGCCAUUAUCUUGAGCAUAUAAAUAUAUUUCCGGUUCAAUAAACACAAAGGAAGCAAAAAUAACAUAUAGUUACUUAGACCGGUGGGUGUGGGAAACUAGUUAAGAGGUAUUAUCACACCCAAAAGUUGUCACCUCACAUGUCAUGUCAAUAUGGUGUUAUAACACCAAAUUAAGGAAAUAAGCAACUAGUUAUAAUACUCUAUGUCAAUGACUUCCAGCCUAGCUGGGAAGAGACAUAGGUUUAAUACUCAUGUAAGGUCAGAGGUCGGGAGUUCAAUCUCUGUAAUGCCCGAAAUGGUGCUGUUUAAAUUUUUGCCUCAUGUGGGAAAGUUUUCCAUGGAAAUGAACCUGAGUUGCUCGUUAAAAUAUUUUCGGUUGAUUCGUUUGCCGUUUCCAAAAUAUAAAAGUUAUAACACUCGAUAUGAUCAUUUUUUUUCCGAUUUAAUUUUUUAUAUUUAAACAAAAUUAAUUAAAACAUGAUAUUUAAAUAAAACCUACUUUUUUAAUUAAACAUAACAUUUAAAAAUCUAAAAUAUAUAUAUAUAUAUAUAUANCUAAUUUAUUCAUUUUCAUUUCCAUCGCACAUAAAAUCAGCCAAAUCUUCUCAAAGAUUGCUUGUGUUUUCGGGCGUCUUGAAUAUCUACAACCCUAUGUUAAUAUUCUGUUGUCCCGGAUUGAAAUUGCAUGUGUCUAGGCUUCAAAGCCGAAUACUCCGUAAUAUUUUGUUUUUUAUCUUCAACCAUCAGGUUAUGCAUUAUGAUGUUGAACUAUGUGUCAUUUCGACUUUAGAACUCCAAAACCACAUUCCACAUCCUUACGUGCUCCUUCCCAUUUUCUCUUGAAAAAUGUGUCUCUUGGUUCCACUGGGUGUCGAAACGCCUUCCAUCUGUAAGGUAAUACUCAAACUUAUAUUCAUUUCUGUUCACUGUGAAAGAAGCAUCUGAUUCAUUUCCUGACAAAAUAUUGUCGAAUAUUAGUGACUGAUCAAGAACGUUCUCAUCGUUGUUCGAAUCCACAACCCCGAGAAAAGCAUCCAAAUCCAUAAAUCUUAGGAACCAACAGUCUCUAAUACUUUAAUAAAAAAAAACAGUCUCUAAUACCAACGAAGGUAUUCCAUGAUAACCGCUUGUGUACUGGCCUUUCCACGCAACAGGUUUAAUUUUUUUUUUUUUUGGAUUUGUUGAAAGUUUAUUGAAUAAAAAGAAAAAUGGUGCUUAAAAUUAAAGAUAAUAAUAUGUAUUUAUAGUUAUUUUUUUUAAAACUGUUACUGUUUUUCAACAGUCAAGUGGAGGAAAAGGAAAAAAAAAAAACGCAUUAAAAAAAAUCAAUGAAGAAAACCAAAAAUCAAACAAGCUUAAUAAAAACCUCAUAAAUGGAUAACAAAAGAAAAUGACGGAAUAGAGGUAAUUUCAUACCUGAAAGCGAGGAUAAAUGUAGAAUGAAACCUGAAAAUUUGGAAAGGGGAACUACAAAUUAUAAAAUCAAACCAGAAAAGCGAACCCAUAUUAAUGAAGUGAGGAAAUUAGUCAGCUUGAGGCGGUAGUCGGUGGUUGUAGGUGGCGGAGCAUGGGAAAUGGUGGUGAUGAUGAGUGGUGGUGGCGUUUAGGAGGUUGUGGUGGCCGUGAGUGGUUCUCCUGAGAGAAAACCACAAAGGAAAACAGAGAGAAUAAGUACCACUCAUCAAAUUGAUAGUCACUCAGUCACUCAUUCCAAAUCAAUUACUCAUCGUUUGGGAAAGAACGAGUGGGAUAUAGCAAAAGGAUUUGUCAUUUA
rnacentral:lncRNA from 1 species